rnacentral:rRNA from 1 species
ACGAACGCUGGCGGCGUGCCUAAUACAUGCAAGUAGAACGCUGAAGAGAGGAGCUUGCUCUUCUUGGAUGAGUUGCGAACGGGUGAGUAACGCGUAGGUAACCUGCCUUGUAGCGGGGGAUAACUAUUGGAAACGAUAGCUAAUACCGCAUAACAAUGGAUGACACAUGUCAUUUAUUUGAAAGGGGCAAUUGCUCCACUACAAGAUGGACCUGCGUUGUAUUAGCUAGUAGGUGAGGUAAUGGCUCACCUAGGCGACGAUACAUAGCCGACCUGAGAGGGUGAUCGGCCACACUGGGACUGAGACACGGCCCAGACUCCUACGGGAGGCAGCAGUAGGGAAUCUUCGGCAAUGGGGGCAACCCUGACCGAGCAACGCCGCGUGAGUGAAGAAGGUUUUCGGAUCGUAAAGCUCUGUUGUAAGUCAAGAACGGGUGUGAGAGUGGAAAGUUCACACUGUGACGGUAGCUUACCAGAAAGGGACGGCUAACUACGUGCCAGCAGCCGCGGUAAUACGUAGGUCCCGAGCGUUGUCCGGAUUUAUUGGGCGUAAAGCGAGCGCAGGCGGUUUGAUAAGUCUGAAGUUAAAGGCUGUGGCUCAACCAUAGUUCGCUUUGGAAACUGUCAAACUUGAGUGCAGAAGGGGAGAGUGGAAUUCCAUGUGUAGCGGUGAAAUGCGUAGAUAUAUGGAGGAACACCGGUGGCGAAAGCGGCUCUCUGGUCAGUAACUGACGCUGAGGCUCGAAAGCGUGGGGAGCGAACAGGAUUAGAUACCCUGGUAGUCCACGCCGUAAACGAUGAGUGCUAGGUGUUGGAUCCUUUCCGGGAUUCAGUGCCGCAGCUAACGCAUUAAGCACUCCGCCUGGGGAGUACGACCGCAAGGUUGAAACUCAAAGGAAUUGACGGGGGCCCGCACAAGCGGUGGAGCAUGUGGUUUAAUUCGAAGCAACGCGAAGAACCUUACCAGGUCUUGACAUCCCGAUGCUAUUUCUAGAGAUAGAAAGUUACUUCGGUACAUCGGUGACAGGUGGUGCAUGGUUGUCGUCAGCUCGUGUCGUGAGAUGUUGGGUUAAGUCCCGCAACGAGCGCAACCCCUAUUGUUAGUUGCCAUCAUUCAGUUGGGCACUCUAGCGAGACUGCCGGUAAUAAACCGGAGGAAGGUGGGGAUGACGUCAAAUCAUCAUGCCCCUUAUGACCUGGGCUACACACGUGCUACAAUGGUUGGUACAACGAGUUGCGAGUCGGUGACGGCGAGCUAAUCUCUUAAAGCCAAUCUCAGUUCGGAUUGUAGGCUGCAACUCGCCUACAUGAAGUCGGAAUCGCUAGUAAUCGCGGAUCAGCACGCCGCGGUGAAUACGUUCCCGGGCCUUGUACACACCGCCCGUCACACCACGAGAGUUUGUAACACCCGAAGUCGGUGAGGUAACCUUUUGGAGCCAGCCGCCUAAGGUGGGACAGAUGAUUGGGGUG